rnacentral:rRNA from 1 species
GAUGAACGCUGGCGGCGUGCCUAAUACAUGCGAGUCGAGCGAACGGACGAGAAGCUUGCUUCUCUGAUGUUAGCGGCGGACGGGUGAGUAACACGUGGAUAACCUACCUAUAAGACUGGGAUAACUUCGGGAAACCGGAGCUAAUACCGGAUGAUAUUUUGAACCGCAUGGUUCAAAAGUGAAAGACGGUCUUGCUGUCACUUAUAGAUGGAUCCGCGCUGCAUUAGCUAGUUGGUAAGGUAACGGCUUACCAAGGCAACGAUGCAUAGCCGACCUGAGAGGGUGAUCGGCCACACUGGAACUGAGACACGGUCCAGACUCCUACGGGAGGCAUCAGUAGGGAAUCUUCCGCAAUGGGCGAAAGCCUGACGGAGCAACGCCGCGUGAGUGAUGAAGGUCUUCGGAUCGUAAAACUCUGUUAUUAGGGAAGAACAUAUGUGUAAGUAACUGUGCACAUCUUGACGGUACCUAAUCAGAAAGCCACGGCUAACUACGUG